CCGACGAUGUCCGAAUGGGGAAACCCAGUGCAAUUCGUUGCACUAUCGUUUGAUGAAUCCAUAGUCAAACGAGGCGAACCGGGGGAACUGAAACAUCUCAGUACCCCGAGGAAAAGAAAUCAACCGAGAUUCCCCUAGUAGCGGCGAGCGAACGGGGAGCAGCCCAGAGUCUUAAUCAGCAUCAGCAUCAGGAGAACGGUCUG
rnacentral:rRNA from 1 species